GGCUAGCGUUGCUCGGAAUUACUGGGCGUAAAGCGCACGUAGGCGGCUUCUUAAGUCGGUGGUGAAAUCCUGGAGCUCAACUCCAGAACUGCCUUCGAUACUGGGAAGCUCGAGUCCGGGAGAGGUGAGUGGAACUGCGAGUGUAGAGGUGAAAUUCGUAGAUAUUCGCAAGAACACCAGGGGCGAAGGCGGCGCACUGGCCCGGGACUGACGCUGAGGUGCGAAAGCGGGGGGAGCAAACAGG
rnacentral:rRNA from 1 species